CCCGCCGUUGAAACGACGGGCUAUUCUCAAACGUCCCUACGGGACG
rnacentral:sRNA from 1 species